rnacentral:misc_RNA from 1 species
GAUGAAGAACGUAGCGAAAUGCGAUAAGUAAUGUGAAUUGCAGAAUUCAGUGAAUCAUCGAAUCUUUGAACGCACAUUGCGCCCGCUGGUAUUCCGGCGGGCAUGCCUGUUCGAGCGUCAUUUCAACCCUCAAGCUCUCCGGAGUUUGGUGUUGGGGCGCCUGGGGCUUUUCGACCUCAGGGCCCUCAAGUCCAUCGGCGGGACCGCCAGGAAACUGAGCGCAGUAGUAUUAUUUCGCUCGGUAGGAUCUUCCACGGCGGGUCGAUCUGGCCGCUAAACCCCCCAAUUCUCACCAAAGGUUGACCUCGGAUCAGGUAGGAAUACCCGCUGAACUUAAGCAUAUCAAUAAGCGGAGGA